CAAUCUGCCCGACCUUUUCGAUCCAACGGCCUAGUGCCAACGACUCCAGUCCAGUGUGCGCUCAAUAAUUUCUUGCAUCCAUAAGGCGCACGAUAGCUCUUCUCCGCUGUGAGCAGUUUUUGUUCCCUUUAGGAUGCGCGUUGCUCCCCUCUUCGCACUCUCUCUUUAACAUCCCCGCCAGUUUCAUGUUUUCUCCGCCUUUCUUUAAAUUUGGAGUUAGUUAUUGACAGUUAAAAAGCAAUUGUUUCGGCAUUUCAGGUACGUUUAUGUGAAUGCAAUGUGAGCAUGUCCAUAUUGAUAAGAUGUAUAUUUUGGAUCCUACGCAAUUGUUGCAUGCAGAUUUUGUAUAAAAGUUUGCUUCUUUCCUGUUGGGUUAUCUUUUAUGUAUGUAGGUUAGUGGGUUUUGAUGGGAUUAGAUAGCUUAAGGAGAUAAGUGGAUCUAAGGGAGAUGUUUUGGACUCAUUUUAAACCUCUUUUGAUGCCCUUUUUGUCCUGAACAAAUAGCACC
rnacentral:misc_RNA from 1 species